rnacentral:ncRNA from 2 species
CUGCCCUGAAACGACCUGGGCGCCCUUGCGGGCUUAAUAGGGAAUCCCGUUAGAAUCGGGAGCGGUCCCGCCGCCGUCAGUCCCCCGAAAAGUCGGCCUCCUCGCGUGCCACUGGGAAAACCUCCCGGGAAGGCCGGGGCCGAUGGGACGAGCCGGAAGACCUGCCCGGUCAAGGACAACCCG